GAUGAACGCUGGCGGCGUGCCUAAUACAUGCAAGUCGAGCGAACAGACGAGAGUGCUUGCACUCUCUGACGUUAGCGGCGGACGGGUGAGUAACACGUGGGUAACCUACCUAUAAGACUGGGAUAACUUCGGGAAACCGGAGCUAAUACCGGAUAAUAUUUAGCUUCGCAUGAAGCAAUAGUGAAAGACGGUUCUGCUGUCACCUAUAGACGGACCCGCGGUGUAGUAGCUAGUUGGCGGGGUAACGGCUCACCAAGGCAGCGAGACAUAGCCGACCUGAGAGAGUGAUCGGCCACACGGGGACUGAGACGCGGCCCAGAGUCCUACGGGAGGCAGCAGUAGGGAAUCUUACGCAAUGGACGAAAGUCUGACGGAGCAAUGCCGCGUGAGUGAAGAAGGUGUUCGGAUCGUAAAACUCUGUUGUAGGGGAAGAACAAGUACGUUAGUAACUGAACGUAGCUUGACGGUACCUUACAAGAAAGCCACGGCUAACUACGUG
rnacentral:rRNA from 1 species